GGAGGGUUCGCCUAGUGGCCGAUGGCGGCGGUCUUGAAAACCGCUGUGGGUGCAAGCUCACCGUGGGUUCGAAUCCCACACCCUCCG
rnacentral:tRNA from 1 species